AUAUAGUGAUAACAAUUAAUUUUAAUGUGCUUUCUGUGCUCAUGAAAUAGUGUCAGAGAGAUAUUUCUCGGAUUUCGUUAUUUUGAUGAAGUGUUUUCACAGUGUUAAAACAUGAUUAUGUCCUAACAUCAGAUCAUGACAUAUGCAAUGCUUCAUCUAAUGACGAAAGGCACAAUGUUUCAACUAAAAACAAUAGAUGCAAAGCCCGUUGUGUACAUUCUUUGCUGAUAAGCUUAAACUUGGACAGACAAUCAAGAUAUGUGGUCUUAAGCAUUUGAUGGUAGAAUUCAAAUAUUAUAAAUGUUUAUUUUACACUAUGGAGAGCAUUCAUUCUAAUCGGUCUUAUAAGAGGAUGUCAUGAAGACUUAUCUACAUCCAAGAUCUCUUGAAGAAUAAAGUUGUUCCACAUCAACAAUCCUACUGAAAAGAUUGUCUGCCAACUUUGCAUAGACCAUUGCAGUC
rnacentral:lncRNA from 1 species